UACGAAGGGGGCUAGCGUUGCUCGGAAUCACUGGGCUUAAAGCGUGUGUAGGCGGACGCCUAAGUGUCUUGUGAAAUCCCACGGCUCACCCGUGGAACUGCUGGGCAUACUGGGCGUCUUGGGCCAACUAGGGGCAGCCGGAACAAGCGGUGGAGCGGUGAAAUGCGUAGAUAUCGCUUGGAACGCCGAAGGUGAAAACAGGCUGCUGGGGUUGUGCCGACGCUGAGACACGAAAGCCAGGGGAGCAAACGGG
rnacentral:rRNA from 1 species